GAUGAACGCUAGCGGCAGGCCUAACACAUGCAAGUCGAGGGGCAGCGGGGAUAAGCUUGCUUAUCCGCCGGCGACCGGCGCACGGGUGCGCAACGCGUAUAGAAUCUGCCCUGUACUGGGGAAUAGCCCAGAGAAAUUUGGAUUAAUGCCCCAUGGUAUGUAUUAGCGGCAUCGCUUAUACAUUAAAGGCUACGGUACAGGAUGACUAUGCGUCCCAUUAGUUAGUUGGUAAGGUAACGGCUUACCAAGGCAGCGAUGGGUAGGGGCCCUGAGAGGGGGAUCCCCCACACUGGUACUGAGACACGGACCAGACUCCUACGGGAGGCAGCAGUGAGGAAUAUUGGACAAUGGGCGGGAGCCUGAUCCAGCCAUGCCGCGUGCAGGAAGACGGUCCUAUGGAUUGUAAACUGCUUUUGUACGGGAAGAACAAGGGGCACGUGUGCCCCUCUGACGGUACCGUAAGAAUAAGGAUCGGCUAACUCCGUGCCAGCAGCCGCGGUAAUACGGAGGAUCCGAGCGUUAUCCGGAAUCAUUGGGUUUAAAGGGUCCGUAGGCGGGCCAUUAAGUCAGGGGUGAAAGUCUGCGGCUCAACCGUAGAAUUGCCCUUGAUACUGGUGGUCUUGAGUUAUGGUGAAGUAACUAGAAUAUGUAGUGUAGCGGUGAAAUGCAUAGAUAUUACAUAGAAUACCGAUUGCGAAGGCAGGUUACUAACCAUAUACUGACGCUGAUGGACG
rnacentral:rRNA from 1 species